UACGAAGGGGGCUAGCGUUGCUCGGAAUUACUGGGCGUAAAGGGCGCGUAGGCGGAUAGUUUAGUCAGAGGUGAAAGCCCAGGGCUCAACCUUGGAAUUGCCUUUGAUACUGGCUAUCUUGAGUUCGGGAGAGGUGAGUGGAAUGCCGAGUGUAGAGGUGAAAUUCGUAGAUAUUCGGCGGAACACCAGUGGCGAAGGCGACUCACUGGCCCGAUACUGACGCUG
rnacentral:rRNA from 1 species